UGGGCAAUGGCGGGCGCCCCUCCCCCCGCCUCGCUGCCGCCUUGCAGUUUGAUCUCAGACUGCUGUGCUAGCAAUCAGCGAGACUCCGUGGGCGUAGGACCCUCCGAGCCAGAUGUGCCUUGCUUCUCCUUCAUUUUCUGCCAUGACUGUAAGUUCCCUGAGGCCUUCCCAUCCAUGUGGAACUGCAUUCUAAUAUAUGCAUUCUUCAUAACAACUGUGUGAAACAUAUUAAUAUCCUCAUUGUUAACGAUGAAGAAACUAAAUCUCAGGAAGAAAAACUAAGUGAAGACAAAAGAAGGAUUUGAACUGAGAUUAUUCUGGGAGAUUCUGGGAGUCUUUUCUCCAACACUCCAGUGGCAUCUGACUAUGUGAGCUGAUAAGAUCUAUAGAUCUGUGAGUUGGCAGAGCUGUGAAAAGUUUCUCCCUUCUUAGGACAUAAGCAGGAAAUCUUGAUACAGGAAUCAAUAAGGGGAAAGAGAAAAUGUUUAUUAGAACAAAUUUAUUAUAU
rnacentral:lncRNA from 10 species